CCGGGAUCGAGCGCUGCGGCGAUUUUCACACGAGUAGGAAUAUUCCCCCGGCUCAGACGGCCGACGGGUCCCAGCAGAGGGGAUCCGGCCGAACCGCCCCUUCUUCCACCGCAGCCCCUCCGCCGGGCACGCACCGAGCGGCCGCCCCGACAAAGCAAAGCCAUCCCCGCCCGCCCCGGAGCUCACGGCGAACGCGACCGACCCCGCAACCCCACCGCCCCGCGGGGCGAUCCCCGGCCGCGGUUACCUGCAACGAGCCGCCGGCUGCGGGGCUCACUCCAGCGUGACGCAGUAAUGGGAUCGCUCCGCUUUACAGCUUAUCCCGGCUAACCCCACGCGCUGGAAGGACAAGGGCACCGGCUGCUCCCCGGGGAGGAACUUUCUCCCCAUCGCUCCCAGCACCGGGGACCCCCGCCUCGUCUCCAACGCCGUCGCUACAUCUGUCCGCAGGUGCGGGCUCGAUACCGCCCGUCCCCAGGAGUGACGGCUGAUGAGUGCUGCGAGGCUGAAAGGAGAAGAAAACCCUUUGGCAAACGUUCGCUUUGAGUUUCUGGGCGAGCUGAAACGGGGCUCGGCCCCGGCGCUCCUCCCACGGCAUCAGACCUGGCACAAAACAUCCCAAAUCCCAACAGGGAUGAAGGAGGAGGUCGUGGUGAGGUGGGGGUCGGCCUCGGCUCCCAGCAAACAGCGACAGGACGGGAGGUGAUGGCCUCAAGCUGCAGCAGGAGGGGUUCGGGUUGGACGUUAGGAACGAUUUCCUCUCCAGAAGAGCAGUGCUGCUGCGGCACAGCUGCCCGUGUUGGUGGUGGUGGGCUCACACCAUCCCCAGGGCUGUUCAGUAACAGAUGUGGUGCCGAGGGAUGCGGUCGGUGGUUUGGUUGGACCCAGUGAUCUUAGUGGCCUUUUCCAACCUUCACGACUCAAUGAAAUCCCAACCAAAUCCCAUUGAGGACAGGGGUUGCAUCCUUACGGUGCACAGCUCCAUGCAAUGGGGGCCCAGGUGAGCACCGGGAGCGUCCGCUGUCGUGGGAUGGGGGCUCAUGGGUCCCUCAGCCCCACAUGAGUGAAACAACCAGCUCGCCUUUCUGAAUAAUUAAAUGGGAGAUGUUGGAGGAAAGAAAUCAGGGCAUCGUUUGGCUAAUUAUCUCGAAGCCAGAGCAACCAAAAAAAAAAAAAAAAAGAAAGAAAGAAAGAAAAGCACGCAAAGUUAAUUUAAUUGGGUCAAACAAUAGCGUUGCCAUGAAGCAGCUGCAUGGGGCUCCUGUAGCGCCUCGCUGGGACCUCGGCUCUGUGUCACUGCUUGGGGAACCUCGUGCUGGGGGAACACAUGGGGAAAUGGGCUUUGUGGAGCCGUGUGAGCCUGUGGGACGUUGUCCAUGUCGUCCCCAUGCUGCAGCCUGGCCGUGCCCUACGCAACAGGCAGGGGUUUGGGGAGCACUGCAAAGGGAGAGUCCCAAAGCAUCCUGAAAAACAGGAAGAGAAGGCUGAGAAUGCAGCAUGGGCAGGGCUGGGAGCUCAGCUGCGGGUGCCAGGGGGAGGGGGGCACCUGGAGCUGCCCCAGAUGUUCCCCAGGUGGAGCAUCCGUGUGUCCUCCAGGGACAUCCACCCCAAGGGCUCCCGUGGAUGAGGGCGAAGCUCUGCAGCUUUAACACCUGCAGAAGGCUCCGAUGAAAAGCAAAGGCGCCGCAAUGGGAUGAAAGCGUGUGGGCAAAGCAUCUUAUCUGGGGCUGAAACAACGCGCCUGACAACAACACCCAGCGAGGAGAACGCGCUCGGAGAGGGAUGUUUUAAUCUGAUCUCGCUGCAGAAAUAAAGCGCUUCCUUGUCGCAGCGCUGACAAAAGAAAAGGCGACAGAGGCAGAAAACAAUUAUAUCUGCAUAAAGAGAUAUAGGGUUGGUUUUUUAAUUUGUUAAUUAGUGACUGCUGGGCAUCACAAGGAUCGUUGUUUUCUCUGAUAUGCUGAUUUCUUCCUUCUCUCGGUGGAAUUGGAGAGCGCACGCACACAGAAAGACACUUCUUUACAAUGGGGAAUGGGGAAGAAGUUUCAGAAAGGUCAGGAGAAAUGUGAUAGGAAGAAGGAGUCUGAGUUCUCCUUUCCUGGAGGGGCUCUGUACUCCGGGUGAGAACUACCCAGGCACAACAAAAUGGGUUCUGAAUUAUAGAUCAAGAGAGUCGCCGGUGGGCGCCUCGGGUGGGGGGUGCGGAUGUGGGAUGCAAGAGGGGCAGAGAGCAAAACCCGGGGCAGGGAAAGCAGGGGAGAUUUCCUCAGCAACAUCUCUGCACUACUGAGCAACGCUGGCAAGAACUCUGCACCACCGCAGCUGGUAUCUAUGGGUCCCAAACACAACCGUAGAGAGAUCAAAAAAACCACAGUCCCUCCGUUCCCUGCCUGCUGGGGCAGCGAGGAAGGCUUGCGUGGAAUAUUUACUCUCUCUAUCUGCCUUUAACAUAUCUAUCUGUGCUGCCAGCUGUCUGCAUUUGUGCAGCUCUUUGAACGCCGCGCUGCAGAAAUAGUUUGCUCCGGAGCAACAGAUAAAAUGGUUUUCCAGUUGUCUCGCCUUCACUCUUGAAUUAUUUCCAUGCUAAUGAGAGCCCUGCAGAGGCACUCC
rnacentral:lncRNA from 1 species